UCUACUCUCGGUACUGUUUUGUCACAAUCAGUUGUUUUUGUUGUAAUGUUUGGAUUUCUUUCCAGUGUUUUGUCACUAUCAAUGUUAUGGAACAAGCGAUGCUAUGUGUUUAUCUUCCUGAAUCAGACAUGAGUCCAUUGGGCAUUUCUAUAAUUAUUUAAGCCAAUGAUGUUGAGGUGCAAUUGUCUGAUACUACUAGGGCCCUCAAACUAAACUUUGGACCUCGAAGCCAGUUACCCUUUCUUUCUUUUUUUCUUUCUCUCCAUUGUUCCCCUCUAAUCAGGGACUGAUUUUAGGUGUGUGCAAUUAAUUAUCAGGUAGAACAGAACCAGUAGGCGCCGGACCUCAUAGGAAAGGGCUGUCAAACUGUCUAUAGAGGGCCUAGUGUCUGCAGGUUUGAGUUUUUUUCCUUUCAAUUAAGGCCUAGACAAGCAGGUGAUGGGGAGUUUUAUUAGUUAGUGACCUUAAUUCAUAAAUCGAGUACAAGGGAGGAGCGGAAACCUGCAAACAAUCGUCCCUCUGUGAAAUGAGUUGGACACGGACACGUGUCAUAGGGUGAAAGUUAAAUACCCCUGCUAUAGGGCUUGUGACCUAACCAGGGAAAAACUGGGAUCUAGUUAUAUCUCUAAAGCAGGGGUGUCAAACUCAUUCCAUGUAGGGCCAAGGGUCUUCUGGUUUUUGUUUUUUCCUUUCAAUGUGUCCAAUUAAGACCUAGGUAACCAGGUGAGGGAAGUUCCCAACUAAUCAAUGACUUUAAUUUAGCAAUCAAGUACAAGGAAGGAGUGAAAACAUGCAGACACUCAGCCCUCCAUGAAAUGAGUUUUGACGCCUGUGCUCUACGACCAAUAUCUAGUGGCUGAAGAAUGUGCAUUGCUGUGGAUAUUGCAACCGGUAUUCUCUCUCUCUAGAAGGGAUAAUUUUGCUGCUAGGGGAAUGAUUCAGACUAACCUUAAUGCUUCAACUUUCAAUCAAUAAUGAUAACCCUAAAACCUGCAAGUAGUUAUUAUGCUUGUUUUUCCCCUCCA
rnacentral:lncRNA from 1 species